rnacentral:tRNA from 1 species
CCAAAGUGCAAAUUUGGCGAGUACACCGUAAAGGUGUCGGGGCUUCUCCCUUU